GACGAACGCUGGCGGCGUGCUUAACACAUGCAAGUCGAGCGGUAAGGCCCUUCGGGGUACACGAGCGGCGAACGGGUGAGUAACACGUGAGCAAUCUGCCCUGCACAUCGGGAUAACCCCCGGAAACGGGAGCUAAUACCGGAUACGACCACUUCAGGCAUCUGAUGGUGGUGGAAAGUUCCGGCGGUGCAGGAUGAGCUCGCGGCCUAUCAGCUUGUUGGUGGGGUAGCGGCCCACCAAGGCUUCGACGGGUAGCCGGCCUGAGAGGGUGACCGGCCACACUGGGACUGAGACACGGCCCAGACUCCUACGGGAGGCAGCAGUGGGGAAUAUUGGACAAUGGGCGAAAGCCUGAUCCAGCAACGCCGCGUGAGGGAUGACGGCCUUCGGGUUGUAAACCUCUUUCAGCAGGGACGAAGCGCAAGUGACGGUACCUGCAGAAGAAGCACCGGCCAACUACGUGCCAGCAGCCGCCGUAACAC
rnacentral:rRNA from 1 species